rnacentral:rRNA from 1 species
AUUGAACGCUGGCGGCAUGCCUUACACAUGCAAGUCGAACGGUAACAGGUCUUCGGAUGCUGACGAGUGGCGAACGGGUGAGUAAUACAUCGGAACGUGCCCGAUCGUGGGGGAUAACGGAGCGAAAGCUUUGCUAAUACCGCAUACGAUCUACGGAUGAAAGCAGGGGACCGCAAGGCCUUGCGCGGACGGAGCGGCCGAUGGCAGAUUAGGUAGUUGGUGGGAUAAAAGCUUACCAAGCCGACGAUCUGUAGCUGGUCUGAGAGGACGACCAGCCACACUGGGACUGAGACACGGCACAGACUCCUACGGGAGGCAGCAGUGGGGAAUUUUGGACAAUGGGCGCAAGCCUGAUUCAGCCAUGCCGCGUGCAGGAUGAAGGCCUUCGGGUUGUAAACUGCUUUUGUACGGAACGAAAAGACUUCUUCUAAUACAGGAGGUCCAUGACGGUACCGUAAGAAUAAGCACCGGCUAACUACGUGCCAGCAGCCGCGGUAAUAC